CUGAGUACGGCGGAACACGUGAAAUUCCGUCGGAAUCCGGGAGGACCAUCUCCCAAGGCUAAAUACUCCCUAGUGACCGAUAGUGAACCAGUACCGUGAGGGAAAGGUGAAAAGCACCCCGGAAGGGGAGUGAAACAGUUCCUGAAACCGUGUGCCUACAAGUAGUUAGAGCCCGUUAAUGGGUGAUAGCGUGCCUUUUGUAGAAUGAACCGGCGAGUUACGAUUUGUUGCAAGGUUAAGCGGAAAAAGCGGAGCCGUAGCGAAAGCGAGUCUGAAUAGGGCGCAUAAGUAACAGGUCGUAGACCCGAAACCAGGUGAUCUACCCAUGUCCAGGAUGAAGGUAAGGUAAUACUUACUGGAGGUCCGAACCCACGCACGUUGAAAAGUGCGGGGAUGAGGUGUGGGUAGCGGAGAAAUUCCAAUCGAACUUGGAGAUAGCUGGUUCUCUCCGAAAUAGCUUUAGGGCUAGCCUCGAGGUAAAGAGUCAUGGAGGUAGAGCACUGUUUGGACUAGGGGCCCUUCUCGGGUUACCGAAUUCAGAUAAACUCCGAAUGCCAUGUACUUAUACUCGGGAGUCAGACUGCGAGUGAUAAGAUCCGUAGUCGAAAGGGAAACAGCCCAGACCACCAGUUAAGGUCCCCAAAUAUAUGUUAAGUGGAAAAGGAUGUGGGGUUGCUUAGACAACCAGGAUGUUGGCUUAGAAGCAGCCACCAUUGAAAGAGUGCGUAAUAGCUCACUGGUCGAGUGACCCCGCGCCGAAAAUGUACCGGGGCUAAACAUAUUACCGAAACUGUGGAUGAACCUCUUUAGAGGUUCGUGGUAGGAGAGCGUUCUAAGGGCGGUGAAGUCAGACCGGAAGGACUGGUGGAGCGCUUAGAAGUGAGAAUGCCGGUAUGAGUAGCGAAAGAAGGGUGAGAAUCCCUUCCACCGAAUAUCUAAGGUUUCCUGAGGAAGGCUCGUCCGCUCAGGGUUAGUCGGGACCUAAGCCGAGGCCGAUAGGCGUAGGCGAUGGACAACAGGUAGAGAUUCCUGUACCAGUGCUAAUUGUUUAACCGAUGGGGUGACACAGAAGGAUAGGGAAUCGCACGAAUGGAAA
rnacentral:rRNA from 1 species